GGGGAUGUUUUGGGAUUCGACAGGCGUAGAUCUGCUCUGACUGCGAUUCGUAGGUUACGUCUACGUAAAAACGUUAUCAGUUAAAUAUAACUGCAAAAAACAAUAAUUCUUACGCAUUAGCUGCUUAGUCAGCAUGUGUUGCCUUUUAGCGAUUCACCUAUGAUUGCUAACUGGUAUCAACUCUAAUAGGUUACGCUUAGUUUUGCCACCUGAGAGAAUAAGAAGAGAUUUUGCAGGUUAGUUAGGUUCUACUAGCCCUGAUAUAUGGCGUUUGAGCCUAAUGAAAUUUAAAUAAUAUCUCUAUGAUCGUAGAGGUUAGUGAUGGAAUGCGUUUGGACAGGGGUUCAACUCCCCUCAUCUCCACUU
rfam:Lactobacillus jensenii JV-V16 chromosome, whole genome shotgun sequence.